UACAGGGGGGGCAAGCGUUGUUCGGAAUUACUGGGCGUAAAGGGCGAGUAGGCGGCCAACUAAGUCCGACGUGAAAUCCCCAGGCUUAACCUGGGAACUGCGUCGGAUACUGGAUGGCUUGAAUUCGGGAGAGGGAUGCGGAAUUCCAGGUGUAGCGGUGAAAUGCGUAGAUAUCUGGAGGAACACCGGUGGCGAAGGCGGCAUCCUGGACCGACAUUGACGCUGAUCCGCGAAAAGCCAGGGGGAGCAAACGGGGAUUAGAAACCCCCU
rnacentral:rRNA from 1 species